UUGGAGGAUGGACAAUUAGACAACUGUGGGUGGCAAAUCAAAAUUGUUGGAAUAAAAGAGUUCACAGAAUUAAAGCAAAAAGUUUGCAGAUCUCGUAAAAGGUCCAACCUUUAUCACAAUUCCUAUCUAAAUAUAAAGAUGAAUCUUGAUGAGAAUUGAAAUUUAUUUUUAUUUCCGUUGUGUAUGUUAAGUAGAUUCCCAACAAAAGAUACAAGGGAAACAUCCUGUUUUCUGUCAUUUUCACUUGAGCAAUUAAGCCCAAUUUUUUUAUCUUAAUUUUGCAUAUUCCAUCUUUAAUAGAAAUCUCAUAUCACUUUUCUUGAAGUUGGCUAGCACUCAACAAAUUUGCCUUCAAAUUGGGGACAUAAAGAACAUUAGAAAUAGUUUGCAUAGUAUUUCCUUUUGUAUGAAAUGUCACCUUUCCUUUUCCCAUGACAGAGAUAGUGGAAUUAUCUCCAAACUUCAUAGUGUUGCGGAAAGAUUCAUCCAAGUCAAAAAAUGUCGUCUUAUGUGGUUGUUGUAACCACUGUCUAAAUACCACAUAUUUUGUUGACUUUCUUCUUUCAUGUGAGACACCAUCAAAAGAGACACCUCUUCUUCUUUUUCUGCAAAGUUAGUUGUUUCUCCAAGUUGCUUAAUCAAAUUAGUUGACAUUCUAAAUAAAUUUUGGCCAUACCUAUGACAUCUGUAGCACUCAAAAUUGGACUUGUUUGUUGAAUGUGGUUUGUAAAAAGUUGAAUGGUUACCACCACGUCCUCUCCCUCUUCCUAUAAAUUGAUUUUCGUGGUAGCAGCGUUGUUGGUAUUUCUGUUGUUGAUUCCCACGAUAGCAUUGUUCUUGGUAUUGCUGUUGUUGAUUCCACGAUCAUUGUUACCUCUUCCUCCUCUACCUCAAACUUUGCCUCUACCCCUGUUUGCUCUACUUGGAGUUAAGUGAGUUUCUGUUGAGGCCUUUAAUGCUUGCUCUUCCUUUUCGUGUUGGAUAAACUUUUGCUCAUGAACCAACAAUGAACCUUGCAAUUCAUCAAUUGAAAAAUCAUUAAGAUCCAUUGACUCUUCAAUUCAGCAAACCACAUAAUUAUAUUUUGGUAUCAUUGAUCGAAGAAUCUUUUCCACUACAAUUACGUCUUCAAUCUUUUCAACAUGAACUUGCAUUUUGUUGAUAAUCGACACAGUCCUUGAGAAAAAUUCUGANAUCUCACUACCGAAGUA
rnacentral:lncRNA from 1 species